rnacentral:rRNA from 1 species
AGCUCCAAUAGCGUAUAUUAAAGUUGUUGUGGUUAAAAAGCUCGUAGUUGGAUCUCAACAGACUUGGAUCGGUUUACUUUGUGUAAUACUGAUCCAAAGCUGUGCUUUUGUCGGAGGUUUAGGGGUGCUCUUAACCGAGUGUCUCUGAGUGCCGACAGGUUUACUUUGAAAAAAUUAGGGUGCUUAAAGCGGGCUGUUAUGCUCGAAUAUUUGUGCAUGGAAUAAUAGAAUAGGAUGUUGAUCUUAUUUUGGUGGUUUUCGAGACUUGACAUAAUGAUUAAGAGGGACAGUCGGGGGCAUUUGUAUUCAAACGACAGAGGUGAAAUUCUUGGACCGUUUGAAGACAAACUACUGCGAAAGCAUUUGCCAAGAAUGUUUUCA